GACGAACGCUGGCGGCGUGCUUAACACAUGCAAGUCGUACGGUAAGGCCCUUUCGGGGGUACACGAGUGGCGAACGGGUGAGUAACAUGUGAGUAACCUGCCCACAACUUUGGGAUAACGCUAGGAAACUGGUGCUAAUACUGGAUAUGUGCUCCUGCUGCAUGGUGGGGGUUGGAAAGCUCCGGCGGUUGUGGAUGGACUCGCGGCCUAUCAGCUUGUUGGUGGGGUAGUGGCCUACCAAGGCGGCGACGGGUAGCCGGCCUGAGAGGGUGACCGGCCACAUUGGGACUGAGAUACGGCCCAGACUCCUACGGGAGGCAGCAGUGGGGAAUAUUGCACAAGGGGCGCAAGCCUGAUGCAGCAACGCCGCGUGCGGGAUGACGGCCUUCGGGUUGUAAACCGCUUUCAGCAGGGACGAAGCUUUUUGUGACGGUACCUGCAGAAGAAGCACCGGCUAACUACGUG
rnacentral:rRNA from 1 species